GUGCCAGCCGCUGCGGUAAUACGAAGGGGGCUAGCGUUGUUCGGAAUUACUGGGCGUAAAGCGCACGUAGGCGGACAUUUAAGUCAGGGGUGAAAUCCCGGGGCUCAACCCCGGAACUGCCUUUGAUACUGGGUGUCUUGAGUAUGGAAGAGGUGAGUGGAAUUCCGAGUGUAGAGGUGAAAUUCGUAGAUAUUCGGAGGAACACCAGUGGCGAAGGCGGCUCACUGGUCCAUUACUGACGCUGAGGUGCGAAAGCGUGGGAGCAAACAGGAUUAGAUACCCUGGUAGUCCACGCCGUAAACGAUGAAUGCUAGCCGUCGGCAGUAUACUGUUCGGUGCGCAGCUAACGCAUUAA
rnacentral:rRNA from 1 species